ensembl:lncRNA
CAGACAUUAAAUUACUCUACAGCUCUCACUUUCAGAAAAUCCAAGGCAGUAUGGAAUGCUGUGAUAUGUUUUGUUAACAUAUAUAUGGUAAAGGGAGAGAAUUUGUCUGAGUAAGAGACUACCAGAAAUGUAUCUGCUUCAGUUGCUAAUUGGUUCUGUCACAUGCAUGUGCUAACACAUGUGCACACAGAGUUGUGAAGUCCAUUUAUUCUCACGUGGAUGAAAAGUUAACUGUAAGGCCACGUUAUGACAUUCAUAGGCACAGCCUUGGGAACAGCCCCUCUUGCGAUCAGACUAGAAACAAAGCAUGAUGUGGGGAAGAGCUCUGAGGGUCAUUUUGUUCAGGUUUGCGUGGGUUGGUAGGGCUUGCACAAAUAGUUGUGAUAUGUGGGAACUGGUGGAAUUUCCAGGUUUCUAAUACUGAAGCUCUUGGGAGACUCCACCUUUGCGUAGACAGCUUUGGGGUUCUUGCAGAUGAAUAUCUCAGAAUUAAGCAUCCUUCCCAUCUAGAAGUGUAUACCACGUUUACCCCCACAAAGCUUGCCUUGACCUACACCAAGUACAAAGUUACCUUAGCUCUAGAACAGGUGUGUGUGAUUGUAAACUCAUUAGUGAGAGUGAAAUCUGGUGUGAGGAGGAAGGCAGGUGGGAGUAACAGUAAAAGUACAUACGAUGUCAGUCCCUUCUAUGUAUUGGGUAAGGUGAGGUUUCUUUUUUCUUGUUCUGAUAGCUCUGGGUUUAGAAAAGAAAAAAAAAAAAUGCCCUUGCUUUACUAAUUGUAUGAUUUCUUCCCUUUCAGGGCUGUAACUUACAGAUACUGGAUUCCUGAUUCUCCUUCCAUGCUUGUGGAAGUCAGGACAAAUUGAUUUUGAGCUCCAUGGGAUUACCUGGUGGUGGGGCUGUGGAAAUGAGAUGUUUGCCUUUCUGCCUGCUCCAGCCUUCUGUAAUUCCAUUCCUUCACGUGCUGUUUUUUUUGAUGUGGGUCAGAGAACAUGCUGUGGUGACCUUGCUCUGCUACUGCUGCCUACAUGGCUGUGCUGGGGGUGCAGCUGUUAGCAUUUGGGGCCUGGGGGGGGAAGGGGGGUGGAGGGCCCCUGUUAGCUGCUCCCGCAUUGCCAGGAGGGGCCACAGGAAGGGGCUGGGGCUCCCACAUCAGCAUCACUGACCUGGGGGAAUGUCUACUUCCCACUGGUACAUCUUCUUCCCUUGGGGGCAGUUGUGAAGAGGGAGAAACAAACCAUGGUAUCUAGAUGUGCGAAAUGCUUGUGCUUAGACUGAGGGGAGGAAAAAUGGGGUUUAUGCCUUGGUGACUCCACAAGCUCUGCAGCCCCAGGAUACCUUAAAAAGCCCUCCUGGAGCUUGAACUGCUUCUCUGUUUUCCCUGGGACCUUGAGUCUGUUGGACCAUUAACAUGUCAUUUUUCAUGAACACACCAAUUCACUCAACGUUCCCCCACGCUGUCUCCUUCCCAGCUCUCGCUCGGUCCAUUUAGUUGAUUGCCGCGUACUCCUGUUAGUGCUCUGUUGGGCUGCUGAUGUAUGUUUAGUAACUCUCCAUAGCAGACUAGUUCUAAAAAAAUACAGUGCUAAGAGUUUUCGACACAGAGUUGAAAGCUAAGGGUUCGGAUUGCAGGGGAGCCCUGCUCUUGCCUCCAGCCAGAUGGGGUUGACAAGAGGAAUUUUUGGUCCAUGCUUUUGCAUUAGUCAAACAGCUUUCUUUUUUUUCCUUCCCUGAUUAACUAUACUUUAACAAUCACGCUUGGUGAUGAUGGGAGCAGCUCUGCAUAUAAUGGAUGUACUCAGAGUGAUUCUGAGGGAGUUCUGCAGUAAAUGAGUGAAGAAAUUGCUGGUGCAGGACUGCUGAAUUCCAGAGGAGGGGGGAUCUUUGGAAGUGAAUGCCUGGCCUGAAGCCCAGCUACUCCAGUAAGCAAGGACCUGCUUCUAGCAAGGCUUAGGUGCUUCAGAAGAAGGUGUGGAAAGCUGAUGCUAUGAAGAAAAGAGACUCAACAACAGUUUCUGUACCAUCGUCACCACAGUUCUGUACCCACAACAUCAAACAAAAGUUGGCCUUUGUUUCUGUGUUGCUGAUGUCUAUGGAGAGGCUCUCAUGGACUUCAAAGGAAUUAGGAUUUGUGCCUUCUGAAAGUGCCUCUUCGAUAAUCACCUUUUCCUACAGCCUGAAGACACAGUGAAUACUUCCUGGUUUCUUUCCUUCCAUGUGUUCUAAAUC